CCCCCUCCGGGCUUCUCGCGCUUUCUUUGCUUAAAGCGAUCCUGGAGCUUGGUGGCUCUGCAAUAACCGUUGGCCACGUUAUCGCACACGCAGACAUAUCUGACAUUUAAGUGGCUGGAGGAUCAGAGGAAGGUUUGUUAUUGCACACCAUAUUCUGCAUGCAGUGUCCCCAGCUGGGCUACUUCUUUGUUUUACCGAUGCUGGGAGCUGUGAAGGAAUGGCAGUUCUGGUCAAGGAAAGGCAUGAUGCCUGCUCUCCCUGCCCUGAGUGAAGUGAGAUUGGCCUACCCACGCAGGAGCAAAGUCACCCCAUUCUGCCAUCAUGGGCACUGGGCUGAGCACUCUGGAAACCCCUGAGGUACUGACAAAGAAAAUGAGGACUCCUCAGGACAAGGCUUCUCUCAGCAGGCACAGAAACGAUCUGUUCUGUUACUGUGCCAAAGUUUUAUGUUGAAGAAUGCAUUCAAACACAGGGUAAAAAAUAAUGAGGUUUGCUGCUGAAAAGAUUAA